GAUGAACGCUAGCUACAGGCUUAACACAUGCAAGUCGAGGGGUAACGAGAGGAAAGCUUGCUUUCCUUGUCGACGACCGGCGCACGGGUGAGUAACGCGUAUCCAACCUGCCCCCAACUAGGGAAUAACCUUGCGAAAGUAAGACUAAUACCCUAUAAUUUCCUCAGAUGCCAUCUGACGAGGAAUAAAGAUUUAUCGGUUGUGGAUGGGGAUGGGUCUGAUUAGCUUGUUGGCGGGGUAACGGCCCACCAAGGCAACGAUCAGUAGGGGUUCUGAGAGGAAGGUCCCCCACAUUGGAACUGAGACACGGUCCAAACUCCUACGGGAGGCAGCAGUGAGGAGUAUUGGUCAAUGGGCGGAAGCCUGAACCAGCCAAGUAGCGUGCAGGAUGACGGCCCUAUGGGUUGUAAACUGCUUUUAUACAGGAAUAAAGUUAGCCACGUGUGGUUAUUUGUAGGUACUGUAUGAAUAAGGACCGGCUGAUUCCGUGCCAGCCGCCGCAGUAA
rnacentral:rRNA from 1 species